CGAAGGGGGCUAGCGUUGCUCGGAAUUACUGGGCGUAAAGGGCGCGUAGGCGGACAGUUUAGUCAGAGGUAAAAGCCCAGGGCUCAACCUUGGAACUGCCUUUGAUACUGGCUGUCUUGAGUACGGGAGAGGUGUGUGGAACUCCGAGUGUAGAGGUGAAAUUCGUAGAUAUUCGGAAGAACACCAGUGGCGAAGGCGACACACUGGCCCGUUACUGACGCUGAGGCGCGAAAGCGUGGGGAGCAAACAGGAUUAGAUACCCUGGUAGUCCACGCUGUAAACGAUGAGUGCUAGUUGUCGGCAUGCAUGCAUGUCGGUGACGCAGCUAACGCAUUAAGCACUCCGCCUGGGGAGUACGGUCGCAAGAUUA
rnacentral:rRNA from 1 species